rnacentral:rRNA from 1 species
AUUGAACGCUGGCGGAAUGCUUUACACAUGCAAGUCGAACGGCAGCACCGGGGCAGCCCUGGUGGUGGGUGGCGAACGAGUGAGUAAUACAUCAGAACGUGCCCGGUCGUGGGGGAUAACGUAGCGAAAGAUACGCUAAUACCGCAUCCAAUCUGCGGAUGAAAGCGGGGGUCGUUCCGGCCUCGCGCGAUGGGAGCCGCCGGUGUGAGGGUGGGUAGGGGGUGGGGGAACGGGCUACCAAGCCGACGACCUGUAGCUGGAGUGAGAGGAAGACGAGCCACAGCGGCACUGAGACAGGGCCACGACUCAUACGGGAGCCAGAAGUGGGGAAGUGUGGUAAUGGGGCGCAAGCCUGAUCCAGACAUUCCGCGUGCAGGACGAAGGCCUUCGGGUUGUAAACUGCUUUUGUACGGAACGAAAAGGCUCUGGCUAAUACCUGGGGCUCAUGACGGUACCGGAAGAAUAAGCACCGGCUAACUACGUG